rnacentral:rRNA from 1 species
UACGUAGGAGGCAAGCGUUGUCCGGAUUUACUGGGCGUAAAGCGCGCGCAGGCGGCAGUGCAAGUAAGGUGUGAAAUCUCCCUGCUCAACGGGGAGGGUGCAUUUUAGACUGCACAGCUAGAGGUCGGUAGAGGGGGGUGGAAUUCCGCGUGUAGCAGUGAAAUGCGUAGAGAUGCGGAGGAACACCGAUGGCGAAGGCAACCCCCUGGGCUGACACUGACGCUCAGGCACGAAAGCGUGGGGAGCAAACAGG